rnacentral:rRNA from 1 species
UACAGAGGGGGCAAGCGUUGUUCGGAAUUACUGGGCGUACAGGGAGCGUAGGCGGUUGGAUAAGCCCUCCGUGAAAUCUCCAGGCUUAACCUGGAAAGUGCAGAGGGGACUGUUCAGCUAGAGGAUGGGAGAGGAGCGCGGAAUUCCCGGUGUAGCGGUGAAAUGCGUAGAGAUCGGGAGGAAGGCCGGUGGCGAAGGCGGCGCUCUGGAACAUUUCUGACGCUGAGGCUCGAAAGCGUGGGGAGCAAACAGG